GACUCUGUAACUCAGUUGGUUAGAGUAUCACGUUAACACCGUGAAAGUCCCCGGUUCGAGUCCGGGCAGAGUCA
rnacentral:tRNA from 1 species